rnacentral:tRNA from 1 species
CGCAGAAAACCUAGGGGUUAUUGCGGACUCUGACUCCGUCAAUCGAGGUUCGAAUCCUCGUCGGGCAUCCA